rnacentral:rRNA from 1 species
AUUGAACGCUGGCGGCAUGCCUUACACAUGCAAGUCGAACGGCAGCACGGACUUCGGUCUGGUGGCGAGUGGCGAACGGGUGAGUAAUGUAUCGGAACGUACCUUUCAGUGGGGGAUAACGUAGCGAAAGUUACGCUAAUACCGCAUAUUCUGUGAGCAGGAAAGCAGGGGAUCGCAAGACCUUGCGCUGAUUGAGCGGCCGAUAUCAGAUUAGCUAGUUGGUGGGUAAAGGCCUACCAAGGCGACGAUCUGUAGCGGGUCUGAGAGGAUGAUCCGCCACACUGGAACUGAGACACGGUCCAGACUCCUACGGGAGGCAGCAGUGGGGAAUUUUGGACAAUGGGGGCAACCCUGAUCCAGCCAUGCCGCGUGAGUGAAGAAGG